UACGUAGGAGGCAAGCGUUGUCCGGAAUCACUGGGCGUAAAGCGCGUGUAGGUGGUGCGACAAGUCUGCUGUGAAAGCGCCUGGCUUAACCGGCGAGGUCGGCGGAAACUGACGUACUGGAGGCCGGUAGAGGGGGUGAAUUCCCGGUGUAGUGGUGAAAUGCGUAGAGAUCGGAGGAACACCAGUGGCGAAGGCGGCCCCCUGGGCCGGGCCUGACACUGAGACGCGAAGGCGUGGGAGCGAACGGG
rnacentral:rRNA from 1 species